rnacentral:misc_RNA from 1 species
AAGUCGUAACAAGGUUUCCGUAGGUGAACCUGCGGAAGGAUCAUUAACACGUAUCCAAACGUUAAAACCCCCCCCGUGAACCUUCAUCCUGCUCUUGUAACCCGCGUAGUUCGCAAUCUCUGAUAAAUCAUAGUUUAAUGUGAAGCUCGAUGUAAUACAUUGGGUAAAAAAACCGAACAACUGUUAACAAUGGAUAUCUUGGUUCUC